rnacentral:lncRNA from 1 species
AGAGAGGGAGCCACACCUACAAGCAGCACCCUCCAACGCAGCAUCAAGGAAAUGGAUACGUGGCACUUUGAGGAACAAUGACAUCCAGUUAAAUGGCAGAAGCUAGGCAUGGUGACUCCACAUACCCAAACAGCUGCUGAAUCUCCAGUAGAUGAAGAAUCUAUAUUCUUCAUCUUGACAGUAGGAGGAGGGGGAACAAAAAAUUCUGCACUGCUUUGCUGUGCAGUGCUGUUCUGAAGUUAAUGUGAUUGUUGCCAUCAGGGAAGGAACAGAAUGUGGAUGUCAGAGCCUUUGCCAAAAGCCAACGGCAUUCUCAGGUCUCCAAACCCAGACCUUGGGUUCAUAUGAUCAGUGCUAGAGGUCAACUGUAUGGAAAGACUGUCCCAUCUUCAGAGAGAGGUUUUCAUCACUUAUAUAUCGUUCAACCUCUAAAAAAAGGCUGACAACUGCUGGCUGCCAGCAACACAGAACAUAUCAGACACCACGGAGAGGAGGCUCGAGGUGGUCGGGUCAGAGCCAGGUCCCAAGACACCUUCCUCUGUCCACUGAAUAGUUAACUGGCACCUUAAAUUAUUUUAAACGUAAAAGGUGAGAGGCCCGUGGCUGCAAUUGCUUCAAGGAGAGUAGAGGGGCUAGCGUCUAGAUCUUGUUGACAGAUGCCUUGUCCCUCUGCUUGCUGCUGUGUUUCCAGCAGCUAUGAAUAAAGACAACUCACAUGCCCCACAGCACUGGUAUUAUAGGAGUGGGCUUCUGGACGUGGGAUCUAGCGUUCUGAGUGAGGACCACACAGUCAAGUCCUGGCACUCGACAGUUGCACCCCAGAGACAC